CGGGGGAAGAGUGGGAAAUAUUCCCCAAGGGGGAAAGCCGAUUCCGGACCCCGCGGAGGGAAGGCGCCUUUGGGUUGUAACCUUUUUCAGCAGGGCGAAGGGAGAGGACGGUACCUGCAGAAGAAGCCCCGGCCAAUUACGUGCCAGCAGCCGCGGUAAUACGUAGGGUGCGAGCGUUGUCCGGAAUUACUGGGCGUAAAGAGCUCGUAGGCGGUUUGUCGCGUCGUCCGUGAAAACUUGGGGCUCAACCCCAAGCUUGCGGGCGAUACGGGCAGACUUGAGUACUGCAGGGGAGACUGGAAUUCCUGGUGUAGCGGUGAAAUGCGCAGAUAUCAGGAGGAACACCGGUGGCGAAGGCGGGUCUCUGGGCAGUAACUGACGCUGAGGAGCGAAAGCGUGGGUAGCGAACAGGAUUAGAUACCCUGGUAGUCCACGCCGUAAACGGUGGGCGCUAGGUGUGGGUUUCCUUCCACGGGAUCCGUGCCGUAGCUAACGCAUUAAGCGCCCCGCCUGGGGAGUACGGCCGCAAGGCUAAAACUCAAAGGAAUUGACGGGGGCCCGCACAAGCGGCGGAGCAUGUGGAUUAAUUCGAUGCAACGCGAAGAACCUUACCUGGGUUUGACAUAUACCGGAAAGCCGUAGAGAUACGGCCCCCCUUGUGGUCGGUAUACAGGUGGUGCAUGGCUGUCGUCAGCUCGUGUCGUGAGAUGUUGGGUUAAGUCCCGCAACGAGCGCAACCCUUGUCCUGUGUUGCCAGCGCGUAAUGGCGGGGACUCGCAGGAGACUGCCGGGGUCAACUCGGAGGAAGGUGGGGACGACGUCAAGUCAUCAUGCCCCUUAUGUCCAGGGCUUCACACAUGCUACAAUGGCCGGUACAGAGGGCUGCGAUACCGUGAGGUGGAGCGAAUCCCUUAAAGCCGGUCUCAGUUCGGAUCGGGGUCUGCAACUCGACCCCGUGAAGUCGGAGUCGCUAGUAAUCGCAGAUCAGCAACGCUGCGGUGAAUACGUUCCCGGGCCUUGUACACACCGCCCGUCACGUCAUGAAAGUCGGUAACACCCGAAGCCGGUGGCCUAACCCUUGUGGAGGGAGCCGUCGAAGCUGAUCGCCGU
rnacentral:rRNA from 1 species